rnacentral:rRNA from 1 species
AGAACGAACGCUGGCGGCAUGCCUAAUACAUGCAAGUCGAACGAACUCUUCGGAGUUAGUGGCGCACGGGUGCGUAACGCGUGGGAAUCUGCCCCUUGGUUCGGAAUAACAGUUGGGAACGACUGCUAAUACCGGAUGAUGACGAAAGUCCAAAGAUUUAUCGCCAAGGGAUGAGCCCGCGUAGAUUAGCUAGUUGGUGAGGUAAGCUCACAGGCAGCGAUCCUUAGCUGGUCUGAGAGGAUGAUCAGCCACACUGGGACUGAGACACGGCCCAGACUCCGUACGGGAGGCGAGCAGGUAGGGAAUAUUAGGACAAGUGGGACGAAAGCCUAGAUCCAGACAAGUCGCCGCGGUGAGUGAA